CCUGCCAGCGCGCCCGCCGGCCUGGACCCUUGCCCGGGGGUCACCCGCCCCCGACUCCAGUGGUGCCCCUCAACUCCACGGGGCUUAAAAGUUGGGGACUCGCUCGGUUAAACCACUGCUUCCUCAAGCCGCUCACACCAGGCUUGGGGAAGAAAGUAAGUUAACAGGCCCGAUGGGGACUCCACGUUACCAAGAGUGCCAAGACUCUGCGUGCCAGAGUCAGGGCGGAAAAGCAGAGCUGCUGUUUCCUGGGAUCAAGGAAUAAAGGAGGACGUUAUAUAGAUAAAUGGUAGAUCUCCAAAUUUAGCCACUGGACUGUCUUUCCAACUGGGGGCUGUGGAUUUGGUGCAACGACAUGUGCAUAAAUUGUGCGGAAAUACGGAAUAGAAUAGACAGGAGGCCAAAUCCUGAUCUAUCUCUGGGUCUCCUAACCAUAAUUUCUGCCACCGAAAUCUAGACAGAGUAACAACCUAAAUACCCAGUAAUGAGGAACAGUAGGAAAAUAAAGAAUGCACACAGCUGAUAAGGAGAGAAAAGAAGAGUGAACACAAGACCAACAGAGAACAAAGACUACAGUAUUUUGGAAAGCAUGAAGAACCUUUCGAAAAUUUGGUAAACCCCCCUGUGCAUAUUUAGAAGACCCAGGGUCCGAGCACACAUUACAAUGUUGCCACCUUGCCAACUUCUGCAGACUUGUCUUUCCAGCUGCCUCUAGAAACACGGAGCAGUUUCAUUCUCUGACUAGUCAUUCUGCUUCUCAGAUGAGUAAUAAAGUAUGUGCUUGCAUAAGUCAGAAUUGCUCAACAGUUUAAGAUUUGUUCCCAGAAGACCUCAAAGAAACACUGUCAAGAUACAAAUCACUUCUGUGUUUAAAGAAUUCUUAUGUUGACACUUUACAUUAUUAAGAGAUGAAUUGCUAAAACAAAUUUUCUUUUCUUAUCACAUCCUCCUUAGCUUACUUUUUAUGCUGAGUGUGCUAUGCCCAGCAAUACCAGCUAUUGAUUUAUUAUUACAUUUAUAGUUGGCUUCGAAUUGUUUCAUUUGAGACAUGAACAGAUGUCUGUAAUUGAGACAAAAAUCCCAUGGAAAGAUCUAUAUGCUCUAAAACCUUCCACUGAAAUUUUUAAUCCAAGUGUUAGCAGUAAACACUGGAAAAACUUGCAUUUGGAAAAGCAAAAACUGUAAGGUUCAAACACUUUUCUCAAAAUCCAUUUCUAUAACAAAAUGUUUUCAAAGGAAACAGCUGAGAUAAACAAAAUUGACAAGAAAUAUUUAAUUAUGUGAUUACAAAAGAAGCAU